rnacentral:rRNA from 1 species
AGCGAACGUUAGCGGCGCGCCUAACACAUGCAAGUCGCACGAGAAAGGGAGCAAUCCCCGGUACAGUGGCGCACGGGUGAGUAACACGUAGAUGACCUUCCCUGGAGUGGUGGAUAACCUGCCGAAAGGCGGGCUAAUACAGCAUGGGACCACAUGGUUUUGACCGAGUGGUGAAAGCGGGCCUCUGUUCACAAGCUCGCGCUCUGGGAUGGGUCUGCGGUCCCAUCGGCUAGUUGGUGACGGUAAUGGCUCACCAAGGCAUCGACGGGUAGCUGGUCUGAGAGGAUGACCAGCCACACUGGAACUGAGACACGGUCCAGACUCCUACGGGAGGCAGCAGUGGGGAAUCUUGCGCAAUGGGCGAAAGCCGUGACGCAGCGACGCCGCGUGGGUGAU